rnacentral:rRNA from 1 species
UGGGGAAUAUUGGACAAUGGGCGCAAGCCUGAUCCAGCAACGCCGCGUGGAGGAUGAAGGUCUUCGGAUCGUAAACUCCUGUCAGGUGGGACGAAGGUACGGGGGCGAACAGUCCUUGUGCUUGACGGUACCACCAGAGGAAGCCCCGGCUAACUCCGUGCCAGCAGCCGCGGUAAUACGGAGGGGGCGAGCGUUAUUCGGAAUUAUUGGGCGUAAAGGGCGCGUAGGCGGCUUUGUAAGUCAAAGGUGAAAUCCCUCGGCUCAACUGAGGAACUGCCUUUGAAACUGUAAAGCUUGAGUCCGGGAGGGGGUAGCGGAAUUCCCAAUGUAGCGGUGAAAUGCGUAGAUAUUGGGAGGAACACCAGUGGCGAAGGCGGCUACCUGGACCGGUACUGACGCUGAUGCGCGAAAGCGUGGGUAGCAAACAG